rnacentral:lncRNA from 1 species
UGUGAGUGGGAUCCCAACAAAAGUUCCAAAGGGCCAGUUAUCUUUACAUAGGACGCCAGCAGAGAAUUUUGUUACACUGGAGGAAAGAAAAGGAGACCUUGAGGAAUAUGGUCAUGAUCUUCUCCAUACUGUCUUCAAGAAUGGCACGGUGACAAAAAGCUCUUCAUUUGAUGAAAUAAGAAAAAAAUGCACAGGUGAAUAUUGAACUGGAAGCAGCACCUCAU